rnacentral:rRNA from 1 species
UGGCUCAGAUUGAACGCUGGCGGCAUGCCUUACACAUGCAAGUCGAACGGUAACAGGUCUUCGUAUGCUGACGAGUGGCGAACGGCUGAGUAAUACAUCGGAACGUGCCCAGUAAUGGGGGAUAGCUCGGCGAAAGCCGGAUUAAUACCGCAUACACCCUGAGGGGGAAAGUGGGGGAUCGCAAGACCUCUCGUUUUUGGAGCGGCCUAUGGCUGAUUAACUAGUUGGAAGGGUAAAGGCCUACCAAGGCUACUAUCACUAUCUGGUCUGAAAGGACGAUCAGCCACACUGGGACUGAAACACGGGCCAUACUCCUACCGGAGGUAGCAGUGGGGAAUUUUGGACAAUGUGGGAAACCCUGAUCCAGUAAUGCCGCGUGUGCGAAUAAGGCCUUCUGGUUGUAAAGCACUUUUGACAAGAAAGAAAUCCUUUGGGCUAAUACCCUAGGGGGAUGACGGUACCUGAACAAUAAGCACCAGCUAACUACGUGCCAUCAGCCUCGGUAAUACGUAAGGUGCUAGCGUUAAUCGGAAUUACUGGUCGUAAAGCGUGCGCAGGUCGAUGUGUAGUACAGGUGUGAAAUCACCGGGCUUAGCCCGGGAAUUGCAUUUGUGACUGCUCGACUAAAGUGUGACAGAGGUGGGUGGAAUUCCACGUGUAGCAGUGAAAUGCGUAGAUAUGUGGAGUAACAACAAUGUCGAAGGCAGCCCGCUGGGAUAACACUGACGCUCAUGCACGAAAGCGUGGGGAGCAAACAGGAUUAGAUAUCAUGGUAGUUCACGCCCUAAACGAUGUCAACUAGUUGUUGGGGAUUUACUUCCUUGGUAACGUAGCUAACGCGUGGAGUUGAUCCGCCUGGGGAGUACGGCCGCAAGGUUAAAACUCAAAGGAAUUGACGGGGACCCGCACAAGCGGUGGAUGAUGUGGAUUAAUUCGAUGCAACGUGAAAAACCUUACCUACCCUUGACAUGGCAGGAACUUUCCAGAGAUGGAUUGGUGCUCGAAAGAGAACCUGCACACAGGUGCUGCAUGGCUGUUGUCAGAUCGUGUCGUGAGAUGUUGGGUUAAGUCCUGCAACGAGCGCAACCCUUGUCAUUAGUUGCUACGAAAGGGCACUCUAAUGAGAUUGCCGGUGACAAACCGGAGGAAGGUGGGGAUGACGUCAAGUCCUCAUGGCCCUUAUGGGUAGGGCUUCACACGUCAUACAAUGGUCGGUACAGAGGGUUGCCAAGCCGCGAGGUGGAGGCAAUCCCAGAAAUCCGAUAGUAGUCUGGAUCGCAGUAUGCAACUCGACUGCGUGAAGUCGGAAUCGCUAGUAAUCGCGGAUCAGAAUGUCGCGGUGAAUACGUUGCCGGGUCUUGUACACACCGCCCGUCACACCAUGGGAGUGGGUUGAACCAGAAGUGCCUAGUCUAACCGCAAGGAGGACGGUCACCACGGUAGGAUUCAUGACUGGG